UCCCUCUGUGCCGCAGAGAACUCGAUAAGUAUUCCGCCUGGGGAGUACGGCCGCAAGGCUGAAACUCAAAGGAAUUGACGGGGGCCCGCACAAGCGGUGGAGCAUGUGGUUUAAUUCGACGCAACGCGAAGAACCUUACCGGGGUUUGAACUUGGCCGGCGACCCUUAGAGAUAGGGGGUUCCUUUCGGGGACUGGUCAAGAGGUGCUGCAUGGCUGUCGUCAGCUCAUGUCGUGAGAUGUUGGGUUAAGUCCCGCAACGAGCGCAACCCUUGUCUGUAGUUGCCAUCAGGUGAAGCUGGGCACUCUACGGAGACUGUCGGCGAAAAGCCGGAGGAAGGUGGGGAUGACGUCAAGUCCUCAUGGCCUUUAUGUCCCGGGCUACACACGUGCUACAAUGGGCGGAACAGAGGGCAGCGAACCUGUGAAGGCAAGCGAAUCCCAGAAAUCCGCUCUCAGUUCAGAUUGCAGUCUGCAACUCGACUGCAUGAAGUUGGAAUCGCUAGUAAUCGCGGAUCAGAACGCCGCGGUGAAUACGUUCCCGGGCCUUGUACACACCGCCCGUCACAUCACGAAAGUGGGCUGUACUAGAAGCCGCUGGCCUAACCUUAGGGAGGGAGGCGUCGACGGUAUGGCUCAUGAUUGGGGUGAAGUCGUAACAAGGUAGCCG
rnacentral:rRNA from 1 species